GACGAACCGUGCGAACGUUAUUCGGAAUCACUGGGCUUAAAGCGCGUGUAGGCGGGCCGGCACGUCCGAGGCUGAAAUCCCCCGGCUCAACCGGGGAACGGGCCCGGAUACGACCGGCCUGGAGGGGGGUAGGGGGCGCCGGAACUCACGGUGGAGCGGUGAAAUGCGUUGAGAUCGUGAGGAACGCCCGUGGCGAAAGCGGGCGCCUGGACCCCGCCUGACGCUGAGACGCGAAAGCCAGGGGAGCGAACGGG
rnacentral:rRNA from 1 species